rnacentral:lncRNA from 1 species
UUUAUGUGUAUCCUGUGCACCCUCAUUCCAUCUCCAUGAGUUCUGUGAUGUAGGUUAGAUUGGAUCACAAUGGAAAAUUUUUGAAUGCAGAUGUUCAAGGAGUUCAUUCUGAGAAUGGACCAGUUUUGGUUGAAGAACUGGGAAAGAAGCACACAUCAAAGAACCUCAAGGCACCUCCCCCAGAAAGCUGGAACACAGUGUCAGGGAAGAAGAUGAAAAAACCUUCCACUUCU